UAAAGGAAAUCACGGAAGAAUGAGAGUUUAGGAGCAGAGGAAGGGGCAGGAUGAAAGAAGAGAAAGAAAGAGAACAUGAAAAGGGACCAAACAGCUAUUCUUUAAUGAUGAAGGAAGUCCGGAUUCCCUUCAAAAGUGAGGUCUCUAAUUCCAUGGCUUUCUGCCAUCUGGAAUGGCAGAAGAAAACAACUGGGGUGGCAGACACUUCUGGCUGAGGAUGGAAAUGGAGGAGAAAGCUGGCAGUAUACGAAUGAAGGAAAAAACAGUCCACAUUCAGCCUGCUGACAUCUGCUGCACAUACUGAAUGGGUUGGCCUGUAAUCCAGGGUGAAAACAAAUGCUUUCUUCCUUCCUUCCUCCUGUUCCAUAGUUAUUAUUGAGUGAUGGUCUCAUUCUUUUUGCAUUCACAGAUUAAAAUUAAUAACAGCAUCUGAAUUUGAAGUAGGUUCCACUGAAUGGUGAACCAGAAACUAAAUGAGCUGCGGAAAUUAGUAAUGAAGCAUUUGAAUAGGAAGGGGUCAUGGACAAACACCAUUUUUCAAAAGCCAGAUUUACCUCAGGAUGAUGUCCAAUUUCAAUGUAGGUGCAAAUUGGAUGAAAAGCCCCCGUUCCACAGGCAUACAAGUGGGUCUGAUUAUAAACCUUAAGCACCUUGAUGAAAUUAGCACACUCUUUCUGUAAGAAAAAAAGAAAAACCAGUGAGUUCUAGGGGUUAUAGCAUGACCUCUAGGGUGCUGGGCAU